rnacentral:rRNA from 1 species
UCGUCGGCAGCGUCAGAUGUGUAUAAGAGACAGAUAGAGUAUAGAUAAAGAUACUAUUCUUUGGGUUAAGAUAAAGAAUAAUGAUAAGAUUCUUAUGCUUUGUAUAAAGAAUAAAACAUUAAAGAAAUUUAAGAACUAGAGACAACGGUUAGAUGUCGGGCGAAUGGGCGACAUAUGUAUAUAUUUAAAUUGUAAUAAAAUAUUUCUUUGUUUUAAAUGUAUGUAAAGUAUUAUUUUUAUAUUAGAUAAUUGGAUACUUGUAUCGUAAAAUACAAGAUUAUAUAUUUAUAUUUAAGGGUAAAUUCUGUCGUGGAAUAUAUAUUUUUCUGUAUAAAUAUAUACAUAAAUAUUGUGUGUAACUUGUGUUGAAAGUUUGUACUUUUAUUUAUGAUUUAUUUUUCGUAUUAUUUUCAGAGAGUGAGCUAACGCAUGAAAUCAGCAGCCUAAAGACUACGGCCGCAAGGCUAAAAUUUAAAGGAAUUGACGGGGGCUUACACAAGCGGUGGAGCAUGUGGUUUAAUUCGAAACAACGCGCAGAACCUUACCAAUCCUUGCAAUAUACAGAAAACAAUGGUUAUGCUUUGUAUUUUGGUAUACAGGCGCUGCAUGGCUGUCGUCAGUUCGUGGCGUGAGCUGUUGGGUUAAGUCCUAGAACGAACGCAACCCUCUUGACAAGUGUAUAUUUUUAUACUAUACCUUUUCAUACUGCCAGUGACAUACGGGAGGAAGGUGAGGAUGACGUCAAGUCCGCAUGGCCCUUAUGGGUUGGGCUACACACGUGCUACAAUGACGGAAGCAAAAGGCAGCAAUAUGGUGACAUGGAGCAAAUCCCUAAAAGCCGUCGUAGUUCGGAUUGUUCUCUGCAACUCGAGAACAUGAAGUUGGAAUCGCUAGUAAUCGUAGAUCAGCAUGCUACGGUGAAUUUGUAUCUAAGCCUUGUACACACCGCCCGUCACAUAAUGGGAGCGAGAUCUGCACAAAGUAUUUUAUUGCUACACAUAAGCAUAUGUAUAAUGUAUUAUUCAUAAGGUGUGUACUGCAUACAAUAUUACUGCAGGUAUUGUGACUGAUAUGAAGUCGUAACAAGGUAGCCGUAGGGGAACCUGCGGCUG